rnacentral:rRNA from 1 species
UCGGGAAUUUUGGGCAAUGGGCGAAAGCCUGAUGGAGCGACGUCGCGUGAUGGACGAAGUGCUUCGGCACGUAAACAUCUUUUAUGUGGGAUGAAAUUAUUGACAGUACCACAUGAAUAAGGGGCUCCUAACUCUGUGCCAGCAGGAGCGGUAAUACAGAGGCCCCAAGCGUUAUCCGGAAUCACUGGGCGUAAAGGGUGUCGAGGCGGUUGUAUUAGUCGUUCGUAAAAUCUACGAGCUUAACUUGUAGGCGGCGAACGAAACGGUACGACUUGAGGUUUGGAGAGGUGCGUGGAACUCACGGUGUAGGGGUGAAAUCCGUUGAUAUCGUGGGGAACACCAAAGGCGAAGGCAGCGCACUGGCCAAAAUCUGACGCUCACACACGAAAGCUAGGGUAGCGAAGAGGAUUAGAUACCCAAGUAGUCCCUGAGCGG